UGGGGGUUAUUGCACAAUGGGCGAAAGCCUGAUGCAGCGACGCCGCGUGGGGGAUGAAGGCCUUCGGGUUGUAAACUUCUUUUGCUCUGAACAAGGCGCACCAUGGGGUGUGUUGAGUGUAGGGGAUGAUUAGCGCCGGCUAACUACGUUCCAGCAGCCGCGGUCAUACUUAGGGCGCGAGCGUUGUCCGGCAUUAUUGGGCGUAAAGGGCUUGUAGGUGGCUGGUUGCGUCUGUCGUGAAAGCUCAUGGCUUAACUGUGGGUUUGCGGUGGGUACGGGCUGGCUGGAGUGGAGUAGGGGAGGCUGGAAUUCCUGGUGGAGCGGUGGAAUGCGCAGAUAUCAGGAGGAAUAACGGUGGCGGAGGCGGGUCUCUGGGCUGUUACUGACACUGAGGAGCCAAAGCAUGGGGGGCGAAGAGG
rnacentral:rRNA from 1 species